UUGAUGGAGCUUUGUGUUUAAGGUGAGGGUGAGUCCCUUCACUCCUUCGUUUAUUCAUCCAGCAGGGCAAAGGUCUGGUCUAGCCGCAUCAGGAGCUGAGGCCGACAGGAGGCUGCCUUCACACUCCUCACCCUCUACAGGGAGGAAGCAGAGUCACCCAGGACAUAAUCCUUGAACAAGGUCAUGGAGAUUUGGAAGCUCGGUGAAGUUUAAGAGCUAGUGGGUCCAACAAAGAUGAACUUCAGAAGCAUCAUGCCAAGUGAAAGAAGUUGACACAAGAGACCACAAACGGUUCACAUGCGAGGACAUCUCUCCGGAACGCUCAUCAAGGAUGCCAGCCUGAAAUUUCCCAUCUUCCCUUCAGACGUCUCGGAAAUGAUAAGCUGAAGCACCUCUAAAACACCUCUAAAACACCACCGCUCCAAAGGGUAUUUAAAGUUUUAAGGGAGACACCACAACAUCUGUUGGACUUUGGGCAAAAAUCAACCUGCAACAGGAAAGGAGAGUGCCAUCCAAUCUGAUUCCAAGGUUUGAAAAAUUGAUUCAGUGACCAAUAGGCACAUCCCUUUGGAGGAGUCUGACAUAAUCAGGACCAAUCAAACUUACUGGAUCCCCUGGUGUGUGCAACCAAUCCAAAAAUGGGCAGAAGACCUAAACAAGAAAUUCUCCAAGGAAGAGAUAUAAAUGGCCAAUAGGCACAUGAAAAAAUGCUCAAUAUUGCUAAUUACCAGAGAAAUGCAAAUCAAAACUACAAUGAGGUAUCACCUCACACCAGUCAGAAUGGCAAUCAUUCAAGAGUCCACAAACGAUAAAUGCUGGAGAAGGUGUGGAGAAAAGGGAACCCUCCUAAACUGUUGGUGAGAAUAUAGUUUGGCGCAACCGUUAUGGAAAACAGUAUGGAGAUUCCUCAAAAGCCUAAAAAUAGACUUAUCACAUAAUCCAGCAAUCCCAUUCCUGGGCAUGCAUUCAGAGGGAACUUUAAUUCAAAAAGAUACAUAUGCCCCAAUGUUCAUAGCAGCACUAUUUACAAUACCCAAGACAUGGAAACAACCUAAAUGUCCAUCAACAGAUGACUGGAUAAAGAAGCAGUAGUAUAUUUAUACAAUGGAAUACUACUCAGCCAUAAAAAUGAAUAAAAUAAUGCCAUUUGCAGCAACAUGGAUGGACCUGGAGAUUGUCAUUCUAAGUGAAGUAAGCCAGAAAGAGAAAGAAAAAUACCAUAUGACAGCACUCAUAUGUGGAAUCUAAAAAAAAAAGGCAAACAAACUUGUUUACAAAACAGAAAUAGACUGAUGUAGAAAACAGACUUACGGUUACUGGUGGGGAAGGGGGUAGGAAGGAAUAAAUUGGGAGUCUGAGAUUUGCAGGUACUAACUAAUACGUAUAAAAUAGAUAAGAAGUUCAUACUGUAUUGCACAGGGAACUAUAUUCAGUAUCUUAUAGUAACUCAUGGUGGAAAAGAAUAUGAAAACGAAUAUAUGUAUGUUCAUGUAUGAUCGAAGCAUUGUGCUGUAUACCAGAAAU